UGGGGAAUAUUGCACAAUGGGCGAAAGCCUGAUGCAGCGACGCCGCGUGAGGGAUGACGGCCUUCGGGUUGUAAACCUCUUUCAGCAGGGAAGAAGCGAAAGUGACGGUACCUGCAGAAGAAGCGCCGGCUAACUACGUGCCAGCAGCCGCGGUAAUACGUAGGGUGCGAGCGUUGUCCGGAAUUAUUGGGCGUAAAGAGCUCGUAGGCGGUCUGUCGCGUCUGCUGUGAAAACCCGAGGCUCAACCUCGGGCCUGCAGUGGGUACGGGCAGACUAGAGUGCGGUAGGGGAGAAUGGAAUUCCUGGUGUAGCGGUGGAAUGCGCAGAUAUCAGGAGGAACACCGAUGGCGAAGGCAGUUCUCUGGGCCGUAACUGACGCUGAGGAGCGAAAGCGUGGGGAGCGAACAGGAUUAGAUACCCUGGUAGUCCACGCCGUAAACGUUGGGCGCUAGAUGUGGGGACCAUUCCACGGUUUCCGUGUC
rnacentral:rRNA from 1 species